rnacentral:rRNA from 1 species
UACGUAGGUGGCAAGCGUUGUCCGGAUUUAUUGGGCGUAAAGAGCGUGUAGGCGGCUAGGUAGGUCCGUUGUGAAAACUCGAGGCUCAACCUCGAGACGCCGAUGGAAACCAUCUAGCUAGAGUCCGGAAGAGGAGAGUGGAAUUCCUGGUGUAGCGGUGAAAUGCGCAGAUAUCAGGAAGAACACCCGUGGCGAAGGCGGCUCUCUGGUACGUGACUGACGCUGAGACGCGAAAGCGUGGGGAGCGAACAGG